GGGCGCCCAAACACAUGGUGGGAAUUACUGGAUAUGGAGCGUCAGGAAUUUUCCCACAAUGACCACGGGAUCGGAUGCAGUCUUCGAGUCACCCUUAGCUAAUGCUAAAGUUUAUGGCUACUCCCUGCAGCUUCUGAGGUGUGACGACGAUGUCUCGCUCAAUGUGGCCUUGGGGUGGAAUAAACGGUGACGUUGCUGGUGCUGACGUCCUUCCGGGCUCCAUGCAUAAACAGCCAGGUUAAUUAGAAGCAACAGGUUUGUGUUGGCUGACCUUGGACUUGUGAGCAGACCGCUGAUGUCAAAGAAAAACCAUGAUGGCCGCCAAACUCAGUGGCUGAACUGAAGUCAGGCAUCACUACGUUACUUUCCAUUCUGGCACAUCCAAUUGCCAGGAUGGUGUUUUAUCAUCUUUAGGCACCAAACAAAAGAAAGCUGAAUGGUACAACUUGGACUCAUCCAAUAAAGAAUACCCACCUUUUCAGUUUCAAAAUGCUUCCAAAAGAUUUCAUGCCCAAUCAUUCAUUUGCCAAACAAUGC
ensembl:lncRNA